UACAGAGGGUGCGAGCGUUAAUCGGAAUUACUGGGCGUAAAGCGCGCGCAGGCGGCUUUGCAAGCCGGAUGUGAAAUCCCCGGGCUUAACCUGGGAACUGCAUUCGGGACUGCAUUGCUAGAGUAUGGGAGAGGGAAGUGGAAUUUCAGGUGUAGCGGUGAAAUGCGUAGAUAUCUGAAGGAACAUCAGUGGCGAAAGCGACUUCCUGGACCAAUACUGACGCUCAUGUGCGAAAGCGUGGGGAGCAAACAGG
rnacentral:rRNA from 1 species